UACAGAGGUCUCAAGCGUUGUUCGGAUUCAUUGGGCGCAAAGGGUGCGUAGGUGGCGCGUUAAGUCAGGUGUGAAAUUUCGGAGCUUAACUCCGAAACUGCAUUUGAUACUGGCGUGCUUGAGGACUGGAGAGGAGACUGGAAUUCAUGGUGUAGCAGUGAAAUGCGUAGAGAUCAUGAGGAAGACCAGUGGCGAAGGCGGGUCUCUGGACAGUUCCUGACACUGAGGCACGAAGGCCAGGGGAGCAAACGGG
rnacentral:rRNA from 1 species